rnacentral:snoRNA from 1 species
AUGCAAACUUAAUCAUAGCUCUGCCUAAUGUGGCAGAAGGUAAGGAAACAAGGUUUGCUAAAUUGUAGUAAUAGGAAAGUAGUAGUCUCAUAAACUACAAGUGGCCCAUUCUAUAUUACUACAGUG